CGUGUAGGCGGCCUGAUAAGUCAGACGUGAAAGCCCGCGGCUUAACCGCGGGACUGCGUUUGAAACUGACAGGCUUGAGGAUCGGAGAGGGCAGUGGAAUUCCCAGUGUAGCGGUGAAAUGCGUAGAUAUUGGGAGGAACACCAGUGGCGAAGGCGACUGCCUGGACGACACCUGACGCUGAGGCGCGAAAGCUAGGGGAGCAAACGGGAUUAGAUACCCCGGUAGUCCUAGCCGUAAACGAUGGGUACUAGGUGUGGGAGGUAUCGACCCCUUCCGUGCCGCAGUUAACACAAUAAGUACCCCGCCUGGGGAGUACGGCCGCAAGGUUGAA
rnacentral:rRNA from 1 species